rfam:TPA: Bos taurus chromosome 13, whole genome shotgun sequence.
UCCCUGGUGGUCCAGCAGAUAAGACCCUGCACUUCCAAUGCAGGAGGUGUGGGUUCGAUCCCUGGUCAGGGAA